UACCAGCACCCCGAGUGGUCGGGACGAUUAUUGGGCCUAAAGCAUCCGUAGCCGGUCCUACAAGUCUUCCGUUAAAUCCAACUGCUUAACAGAUGGGCUGCGGAGGAUACUAUAAGACUAGGAGGCAGGAGAGGCAAGCGGUACUCAGUGGGUAGGGGUAAAAUCCGUUGAUCCAUUGAAGACCACCAGUGGCGAAGGCGGCUUGCCAGAAUGCGCUCGACGGUGAGGGAUGAAAGCUGGGGGAGCAAACCGG
rnacentral:rRNA from 1 species